rnacentral:rRNA from 1 species
CAAGUCGAACGAGUUCUCGUUGAUGAUCGGUGCUUGCACCGAGAUUCAACAUGGAACGAGUGGCGGACGGGUGAGUAACACGUGGGUAACCUGCCCUUAAGUGGGGGAUAACAUUUGGAAACAGAUGCUAAUACCGCAUAGAUCCAAGAACCGCAUGGUUCUUGGCUGAAAGAUGGCGUAAGCUAUCGCUUUUGGAUGGACCCGCGGCGUAUUAGCUAGUUGGUGAGGUAAUGGCUCACCAAGGCGAUGAUACGUAGCCGAACUGAGAGGUUGAUCGGCCACAUUGGGACUGAGACACGGCCCAAACUCCUACGGGAGGCAGCAGUAGGGAAUCUUCCACAAUGGACGCAAGUCUGAUGGAGCAACGCCGCGUGAGUGAAGAAGGCUUUCGGGUCGUAAAACUCUGUUGUUGGAGAAGAAUGGUCGGCAGAGUAACUGUUGUCGGCGUGACGGUAUCCAACCAGAAAGCCACGGCUAACUACGUGCCAGCAGCCGCGGUAAUACGUAGGUGGCAAGCGUUAUCCGGAUUUAUUGGGCGUAAAGCGAGCGCAGGCGGUUUUUUAAGUCUGAUGUGAAAGCCCUCGGCUUAACCGAGGAAGCGCAUCGGAAACUGGGAAACUUGAGUGCAGAAGAGGACAGUGGAACUCCAUGUGUAGCGGUGAAAUGCGUAGAUAUAUGGAAGAACACCAGUGGCGAAGGCGGCUGUCUGGUCUGUAACUGACGCUGAGGCUCGAAAGCAUGGGUAGCGAACAGGAUUAGAUACCCUGGUAGUCCAUGCCGUAAACGAUGAAUGCUAGGUGUUGGAGGGUUUCCGCCCUUCAGUGCCGCAGCUAACGCAUUAAGCAUUCCGCCU